rnacentral:ribozyme from 14 species
AACAUAUAUAACAAUCGCACUAUAGUCGUGUCGUCUGUGAAUCCAUUUUUCUUCUUCUUCUCCCUCUUCUUCUUCUUCUCCCUAAGUCUGUGAGAGUUAAGAAUAG